ACGGCCAGGACUACAGGGGUAUCUAAUCCCUUUCGCUCCCCUGGCUUUCGUCCAUGAGCGUCAGUAAUGGCCCAGCAGAGCGCCUUCGCCACUGGUGUUCUUCCCGAUAUCUACGCAUUUCACCGCUACACCGGGAAUUCCCUCUGCCCCUACCAUACUCAAGCCGAUCAGUUUCCACUGCCAUAAUGGAGUUAAGCUCCACGCUUUAACAGCAGACUUGAAAGGCCGCCUGCGGACGCUUUACGCCCAAUAAUUCCGGAUAACGCUUGCCACUCCCGUAUUACCGCGGCUGCUGGCACGGAAUUAGCCGUGGCUUAUUCCUCAAGUACCGUCAUAUCUUCUUCCUUGAGAAAAGAGGUUUACAGCCCAGAGGCCUUCGUCCCUCACGCGGCGUUGCUCCGUCAGGCCUUCGCCCAUUGCG
rnacentral:rRNA from 1 species